UACACUACACAAUUGACACAAAGACCAUUUGACACACUUCAUGAAGGUAAGAGUUGGUGUAUUUAUUCAGAUUUUGGAAUUUUUCAUUUUUAUUGUGUUGUAUGCUUUUACUUUACUUUGUUACUUUCACCUGAAAAUAAACUAUAAUAUGGUGUAAUACAAAAAUAGAAUUAAUAACAUAGUUUAUUAUGUUUAUUAGACCAAUGUGUCAUUGGACACAACCAUUAUCAGAUUAGAAGCAGUAAUCUGUUACAUUUACAACAUUUAGCAGGUGCCCUUAACCAGAACAACUUACAGAACCACUUUGUAAUCUUUAGCAAAAAUAUAUCCUUGUGCUAGUUCACUAGGUCAAGGACUAAGGGUACCAUCAGCCCUAAAUCUCUGUUGGAGAGGUUAGUAUGGCAUAAAAAGAAAACACAAGUCAAGAAUGAUAUGUAUACAGUACACAGAUCGUACACUCCCCUCUGAAAGUAUUGGAAUGGCAAAGCCAGUUCUUCUAUACACUAAUGACAUUUGAGUUUGAGAUCAAACAAUGAAUAUGAAACGAUGGAUCAGAAUUUCAGCUUUCAUUUCCUGAUAUUUAAAUCCUGAGUCCUCUUUAAAAGACCUGAACUCAGACCCCUUGAAGUGGACCAAGAGGUGAAGCAAGUGAAAAAGGACCCAGUUCUCUUUAUGUUCACACUGUCCCUGUUCCUGAAUGAGAACUUGGAUCCUUUUUUGGUCCACUUAAGCAUUAAUAUGGUCUCAGACAUCUUUGUGUUUAUACUGUUGCGUUUUGGGUCCUAGGCCUCUUGCAACGCUGUGCAUUGUGGGUACAGCAAUAUUAUGCAAGAUGGCUGACCCUAAACUUGUGCUAAUUGUCCUGUACAACAUGUUUUUUAAAUUACAAAAGAGAAAGAGAACACAAUAAAAAAAAUGAAAGAAAUCAAAACAAACACAACAAACGAAUGCAGAGGAGAAGGACAAGAAAAAUAUGGUGAAAAAACUCUGCUGAAGCAGCAUUAUUUAUCUCUGGGGCUUCACCUUAUGAUGCUGACUUAAGAGAUGAUGACAAUUGAGCUAUCUCCUCAAAGAUCCUGUUGUACCAGAAAUCAAUCACAUCUUUGGUGGGAGAACACUGAGUCUUUGAAGUUUCUGGAACAGAAACUUCAGGAUGAACAGGGAGACAUUCCUGAUUAUGUGCAAUGAGCUAAGACUGCAUCCCUAUUCUUGCGUUAUAGCACUGUAGCACACAUCCAUCUGUAUAAUUAUGUUUAUUUUCCUUGUGUUCCUUGAAUUAUGUUUGUUUAUUGUAAUUUCUAGUAGUAUAAAAUGUCUGUUUUUUUGCUCAUUUUAAGUGUUUGCUUUGUAAAAACCUACUGUAUGUUAAAUAUUCUGCCCUGUGCUUAAGGAAACCAGAUACGCGACGUCAUUAAGCCAACUAAAUCAUGAAAAUAAUGGCAUAACGGUUCUAUGAGCAACUAAAUAGGUAAAGCAAGUUUGCAAUGAACGUACCAUUAUCAUCCUCCCUCUACAACAUAUAUUGGGUUCACGCAGGGGCUUGUACCAAGAAUUUUGUCUAACAAAUCAUAAAGAGGCCACUUGACAUUGGCUGACUGUCCUCUAGAUCACAGUUUAUCUCGCAUGGCCAUAUAUUUCUACUGUAAUUUUUUGCACUUUAACCCUGCCCUGCAGGGCACUCUGGUUAAAUUCUUUGUCUUUCAAUUUUGAUGAAAAUUGAAUAAACACUUUUGAAUUUCUGUGGGUGGUUGAUAGUUGUUUCUUAAUAUAGACCUUCUUCCAAAUUUGGAGGAGUGCAGCCGUUUCCUCAUCUGUCCAUAGCAUCCCUCUUCCAGCAGAAGCAGCUAUGUUGAAUAGAGCGAUUUGUACAGAGGCCUGUACGAAAGUUCACAAAUGGAAAAAUCGAGUGAACCUGGAGCGAUUUGUGUUCACAAUGUACAUUUUUAGGGAACUGUACCAUAACCUGAAAGCAAACCAAACUCUGAUCACCUCCCAAGAUGGUCUCAGUUCAGUUUGCUUUAAAAUCGUUUGGAGUGUUCACACAAGCCAAAAAUCCAGCGAACUGUGCUCAGACACCUGAAAAGCUGGAAGUGUGAAAACACUUGUUAGGAAUUCUUAACUGCAAUUGCAUCCGUUUCCACUCGCCAUUCGUGACAGAAUACUUCACCAUUACAAUGGAUGCAGCAGGAAGGCGAGAGGGGCGUAACCCCAGGAUGACCAUGCCAGCCCUCGACUUGAUCCAUUUUUCUCAGUGGACUUUCAUAUAUUCCCUGGAACCCUUUGAUGGCUUUUCAGUUUACCCAGAAUGCUGCCUGCUGCAGUGCCAGUUAUAUUUUGGGAGCCUGGUGGACCCCAAGCCUAAUGAGAAGCAGUGGUUGGAGUUCUUGUUGUCCCGGCUCGUCUGCCCAGCCCACCAGUGGGCGGAGCUCCUGAUUGCCACAGGAACCAGAGGCCUUAGCAAUGUAGCCGAGAUUGUCAGCUUAUUAAGAAAGGUGUUCGGGUGUCCUAAGUUUAACCCUGACCUUGACAAUUUUUUGUGGAGGGCCAGACUGACGGCUGAACCCGCUCGGCCUUUUAUGUCCUGCGUUUGCCUGAGGUCGAUGGCAUGGUCUCCCAAGUCCUGCUCUUGCUAGAGACCAAUGGCACGGCCUCCCAAGUCCUGCACCUAUCUGAGACUGACGAGGCAGCUACUCAAGCCCAGCUCCUGUCUGAGGCCAUCGGCUCGGCCUCCCAAGACCUGCUUACAUCUCAGGCCAACAGGGCAGUCUCCCAAGACCUGCUCACACCAGAGUCCGACAGAGAAGCCUCCCAAGCCUUGUUCCCAGCUCUGCCACAUGACCUUGGCAAGCCUGUCCCAGCCCUGCAACCUGACCCUGUCAAGCCUAUUUUGUUAUAGUGGCACCUGUCAAGGGGUGGGAUAUAUUAGGCAGCAAGUGACCAGUCAGUUCUCAAAGGUGAUGUAUUGGAAACAGGAAAAAUGGGCAAGCGUAACGAUCUGAGUGGCUUUGACAAGGGCCAAAUUGUGAUUGCUAGAUGACUGGGCCAGAGCAUCUUCAAAGUGGCAGGACUUUGGGGUGUUCCUCAUAUAGUACCUACCAAAAGUGGUUCAAGGAAGGACAACCGGUGAACCAGUGACAGGGUCAUGAGUGCCCAAGGCUCACUGAUGAGUGUGGGGAGCGAGGGCUAGUCAGUCUCAUCUGAUCCCACACUGUAGGACCAAUUGCUGAAAAAGUUAAUGGUGGUUAUGAUAGGUGUCAGAACACACCAUGUGCAGCUUGGUGUGUAUGGGGAUGUGUAGCCCCAGACCAGUCAGACUGUCCAACCUGACCCCUAUCCACCACGGAAAGCACCUACAAGGGGCGUGUGAGCAUCAGAACUGGACCAGGGAGCAAUGGAAGAAGGUGGCCUGGUCUGAUGAAUCAUGUUUUCUUUUACAUCUUGUGGAUGGCCGGGUGCGUGUACAUCGCUUACCAGGGGAAGAAAUGACACCAGGAUGCACUAUGGAAAGGCAAGCUGGUGGAGCCAGUGUGAUGUUCUGGGCAAUGUUCUGCUGGGAAACCUUGGGUCCUGACAUUAACGUGGAUGUUACUUUGACAAAUACCACCUACCUAAACGUUGUUGCCGACCAAGUACACCCCUUCGUGGCAAUGGUAUUCACUAAGUGGCCACUUUCAGCAGAAUAAUGUGCUUUGCCACACUGCAAAAAUUGUUUAGGAAUGGUUUAAGGAACAUGACAAAGAGUUCAAGGUGUUGACUCAGCCUCCAGAUUCCCCAGAUCUCAAUCCGAUCUAGCAUCUAUGGGAUGUGCUGGUCAAACAAGUCUGAUGCAUGGAGGCCCCACCUCGCAACUUAUAGGACUUAAAGGAUCUGCUGCUAACAUCUUGGUGCUAGAUUCAACAGCACACCAUCAGAGGUCUUGUAGCGUACAUGCCUCAACGGAUCAGAGCUGUUUUGGCAGCACAAGGCGGACUCAAUGAUACUCCUGUAGAAGCUGGUAAGGAUCGCUGAUCACAUACCUGCUUUUUUCAACUUUAAGGAGUCGAGGUGUUGGUGUGCCUUUUUACCUAAAAGUGAGAAGUUUGAAUUUGCACACACUGAACUUUUUGUUGUUACUACACGUAACAUAACUCCAUGUUUUGUACAUCUGUUUUUUGCACAUUCCUGUACAAAUAUUUCUUAUUUCUUAAUUUUAAUUUGUUUACUGAAAUGCUCAGUCUAAGGAGGAGUAGGCCAGGUUUUCAUUUCACUGCAUGUUAUGUACUGUACAUAACUGUGUAUGUGACAAAUAAAAUCUUGAAUCUUUUAGUUAGGAAGAAUAUGCAGUUUAUCAUACAUUUUUUGACUUUAUCCCGGUAUCUAGCCAGAUAGACAGCGUUAAACAAAAUUUCAUGCUCAUCAGGUCGCAUAAUUUAGUGGGAAAUGUAUAGAAUUGAUUCUGUCUUUAAAAAAAAAAAAAAAAAAAGUGACGUAAACAUGGGAAUCCAUCAAAAUUUCUCCAAAUCUGCACAAUUUUGGACUAAAAGCCCUAAUGGACGUUGUUUAGUGAAGCCCUGUGAUCACAAAUAAACAGAAACAGAUGUGAUUGUCUCGUUUUUUCAUUCGAAAUAUCAAUAACUACCAGUUUGAUUUUACAUGUUUGAUGUGUACUCCCGACAGAAAUUAUGAAAUUGCUGUCACUGUAAUUGUCUUUAUCAUAAACAGUGGCCAAAUGUCAAAGCUAGAGUCCUAAAUCUUUCUAAUGAUUUACACUUGGUCAAGAUUAAAUAAGAUUGUCAUGGUAAUAGCGUGGAGUGAAUGUAAACAGCAACAAUCAACAGUUAAGAGGUUAACAUUACUUACCUCAAAUGAUGGGUCCUCAAAAUGCUUUGAUGUCUUGGAUGCAGCCAGGUGGUUCCAGAGCAUAUGUAAGCAUGCUCGUAACUGAAAUAAGAACAAAUAUCAGGGCAUGUCAAAACAUUGGUGAGGGGGAGCAGUCUGAGCGAUGCUUUGCUGAAGAAACGGCGCAAAACAGAGAUCGUUUGUUAUUAUGAGAAGUGUAAAAAAAUAUUUUCGGUUCAUUAUGAAACUGGCAGGACAAAUUAGACGGCAGAUAUUAUUGGACGAUGGUCGUUAAAGCAUGUGGCUGGAGAUUUUUUUGGUACCAGAAUGAUUGUCGUAUUCUUGACACAAUUGGGAACAACAGCUAAAAAUGUCAGUGAAUACUUAAGUAGGUCUUGUGGCUUUCCUGGGUUCAUCUUUGAGAGUUCUUUUCACAUUCAUUGUGGUUAAAGGACUCAGAUCGGGCAUAAAAUUCAUUUAACCCUCAGUAGUCUCAGGUGUUUUUGGAUCCUGGUGAUUUUUUGACAAAGCCUGACAAUUGUUCUUAUUUUAGUAACUUAUAGCACAUUAAUGGCAAAAGUCCCAUUACACUAUAUUCAGCUCAAAUUGUGCUUCAAUAAUAUGUGAGCAACGUGAAUGUACACAAUGAAAAUUUAAACUUGGUUAGUAAAAAAAAAAUUUAAAGACACUCAGAUAGGGCCAUAGAACACAUACUAAAUAUAUUUUCAUAUAUAACAAUGCAUUGAUUUCAUUUUUGUGUGACACUUUUUGUUUUAGAAAGGCUGUAUGGCAGGGACAGUCAAUGGCCAUGAAUAUUGAUGUCUUUCACACCUGGGGAGAUAACGAUCCACCCCUUAAUGGGUCUGUCAAGGUGGAAUGCCACUGUGGAAACUGAAAAAAAUAAUUUGAGGAGACUAAAAGAAAUAAUGUUUUUUGUUUGUAGUUUAUUUACAACACAGUGUAUAAUAUAAUCAAAAUAUAAAAAAUGAGAGUCAAAGGCACAUUUUUGAGCAUACAGUUUUGAACACACAGUCACACACCUUCGUGCCAUUCCUGGGAAGUAGUUCCUGGUUAACUGAAGCCACAAGUGAACGUCACAUGCCUGGCAUUUCCAAGGUGUUUCUUGCCAUGCACUGCUUUGCAAUGCACACAGAUCCAGUGACCAGCAGUGGCAAUAUUCCUGACAUCUGAGCUCAGCUCAACUCCUGGAACCAACAUAUGGUCACUACUGGACUGUUUUGGUACUACUUUCUGUAACACGCCACAGAGCUCUGCAGUAAGCUGUUGGGAGCUUUGGACUUGUGUAGAAAUUAUCCAUGUACACAAAAGAGACAAUGUCCAAAAGAGAUGUCACAUCAUAAUAUGAUAGUCCAUGGCCUGUGGGAAUGUUGUUCUUUCCUGUGUAGACAGAAAAGUCCGCAGUGUAUCCAUUUGAUGAAUCCGCAAGGACAAACAACUUGAAGCCCCACUUGGUUGGCUUGGCUUUCAUAUACUGUGUCGUUCCCAUGUUUGAUUUGCAUGCCACCAUUCUUUCAUUCACAGCAAAAUUUCUUUUAGGAUGACAGAUGGCAUUCUUUUAGGAUGAUAGAUGACAGUCAGUGAGGGGUUUGACCCUGAAAAGACAGUCAUGUUCAUCUGUGCCCCUCUUUCUGUCAUUCUCCUUGUCUGUGUCUGGGUGACUCAUGUACACAUUCCAUGAAAUUAUGUGGUAUCUGUCCCUUGACAUAACUGUGGAAGGAAAAUGCACAGAGAAAAGACUGCCCUAGUGCCAGUAGUCAGUGAUGGAGCUCACCUUCCCCAUAUAGAAUAUUAGUGUAGUCCAGUGUAGCAGUAUAGCUCGUUGAUGCUGACAUUUGUCCAUUUGUACUUGUGCCCUUUGCAAUUGCCCUGGCAGCCUGAGCAUUUGUGUUGUGACACAGAGUUGACACAGCACUCUCAGAGAAAAACAGUUUGAAGAGACUCAGGGGAGAGUGUGAGUCAGCAGACCUAAGCUGUUGUCCAGGUUCCCAUGUGGGCAGGAAUCUGAGUCUGUGGAACCAUGUCAACACAAGUCUCUGUUUUCCAUGACAGUGGACUGCCUGUAGCUUACUUGCUUGUUUGUCUUGGCUCUCUUUGCAACAGGUAUCUGGUCACUGUCAUUCUCACAUCUCACAAAAAGUGAGGAAAUAAUUGAGCAUGCUACUAACAGGAUCAAAGAAACUAUAUUAUCACUAAUGUUACUAAUACUAAUAUUGUCCCUCAUAACAAAAAAAAAAAAAAAGACAAUUUUUGUAAUGCCAUACAUGCACAUACACUUUAUGUAUUAUCACAUAGAAUGUAAACAAAAUUAAACUAACAUCUGUAAAAUAGCAAUUAAAUGUGUACUUACUCAGUAUGAUUCUCGCAUUGAUGGGGGCGUUUACCAUGUUUGUAUGGCUCGCCCAGAUCAUUAACGUAUGAAUAGCUCACUCUGCAGGUGGGUGUGUCUAGGUCAGUGCUAAUGAGCUGAGACAGAAAAACUGCACCUGUCAUUAGUUUCAUGCGCAUGACAUAAUCAUAAAAUAUUUGUUUUGGCUCUAUAUUGGUUUAUUUAAAAGUAAACAUUUCAAUAUAAUUCAAUAUAAUUAUAUGCUGAGUUUCGAUUUAUUUUUGUGACGUGCUCCAGUAGGGCUGCACGAUUAAUCGUAUUUUAACUGCAGUCACGAUUUCUGUGAUUAAUUAAGCAUAAUCAUCUGCAAUAUUGAUGUGUUAUUAAGCAGAAAAUGUCAGCCUGCUAAGAUUGCAAAUUGUUUAUUCUUAUGGGCCGAGUCUCUGAUGAUAAACCAAAUCACAAGUCACAAUCACAAGUUAUUUUUCACCUCGACUGAUCUGUUGCUCUCUGGAAGUUCGCUAAUGACCAAUGAGCAUUUCAUUUUUAAGCACGCUUUGAAAUAUGGUGUCACAGAAGUUCGCGGCUUCGUGUGCACAGCACAGCAGUGGCAGAUAUGAAAGCAUACAGGCCUUCAGCUUGACUGAACAAACAAAAUGGCAGAGCAACAAGAGGAAGGUGAGGGGCAUACAUUAGUUCCUAAAAAGGUGUCAUCCUCCAUUGUUUGAAGUAUUUCAGGUUUAGAGAAAGUGAUGUUGACCAGGUGCAAGUACUAUGCAAAGUGUGCUUCCGUGCUGUAUCAGUGCUGCUGAAGGUAACACAACAAACCUCAUCAACCACCUGAAAAGCCAACAUAAAAACAGUAUCAAGAAUGUCAAAGGUUGAAGACACAAAAAGUUUUAACCACACAAAAUUCCCAGCUUUCCCCAACACAGACAGCAGUAAUGGGGAUUUUGCUCAAUGCAACACUAUAUUCGCCUGGCUCACAAAGACACAUAGAAAUAACGGAGGCAAUCACAUUUCAUUUAGCCAAGGAUAUGUGCCCAAUAAGCACAGUAAGGAACGAGGGGUUUAAAAAAAUGAUCUGCACACUUGACAAAAGAUACAUGAUACCCUCAUGCAACUAUUCUUCAAAAGUUGGUCUGUCUGAGCUGUAUGCUAAAUGUAGACUGGAAAUAGAGAGAGAAAUUUGCGCUGUUGAAUAUUUUGCUGCCACAACUGAUUUGUGGUCAAGUAGAACUGCGGAACCGUACCUGAGCCUGACUACUCAUUAUAUUGACAGUGAGUUUGAAAUGAAGAGCGAAUGUAUGCAAUCUCCAUUUUUCCCACAAGACCAUACAGCAGAAUCUAUUGCAACGGGCCUCAAAAAAGUGAUUUCUGCAUGGGGUUUGCUUGAGGAAAGACUCAUCUGCAUUACAACGGACAAUGCAGCUAAUAUGAUCAGGGCAGCCUCUCUGAAUACCUGGACGAGGCUACAUUGCUUUGGACAUAGACUUCAUUUAGCUAUUGGUGAGUUGUUUUAAAAUGUUUUCCCUGAUAUAGUGUAAUUUAUUAUUUAUUUUGCCAAUUUUAUUGAAGGUGCACUUAGUAAUUUUUCUGAUAUUUUGCUGAUAUCUAGCAUUGUACAGUAUAGUCAGUAUAUUUAUUCCGCAAAUGAAAACAUCCAAUUACAUAGAAUUAAAAGCUAAAGAUAACACAAGUAAUAUUUGGCUGUUCAUAUACAGUCAGGUCCGGAAGUAUUUUGACAGUGACGGAGUUUUUGUGAUUUUGCCUUUAUACACCACCACAAUGGAUUUGAAAUAAAACAAUCAAGAUGUGAUCAAAGUGCAGACUUUCAGCUUUAUUUUAAGAGGUUCCACAAAAAUAUGGCAUUUACCAUUUAGGAAUUACAGCCAUUUUAAGCAAAGUACUUCCAUUUUCAGGGGCUCAAAGGUAUUUGGACUGACAAGAAGUUAAUUGACCAGGUACGGUUCAUUCCCUUGUUACUUCAAGACAAAUGAAGCAGAUAAAAGGUCUGGAGUUGAUAUCAGGUAUUGAGUUGGCAUUUGGCAGCUGUUCGAGUGGAGCUACCAAUAUGAAGUCCAAGGAGAUCUCAAUGCAAGUGAAGGAGGCCAUCAUUAGGCUGAAAAAACAACAUAAAUCUAUAAGAGAGAUAGCAAAAAACCUUAGGUGUGGCCAAAUCAACAGUUGGGUACAUUCUUAAAAAGAAAGAAAGCACUGGUGAGCUCAACAACAUCGAAAGGCCUGGAAGAUCACGGAAGACAACUAAAGUGAUGGAUCACAGAAUCCUUUCUUUGGUGAAGAAAAACCCCUUCACAACAUCAACAGAAGUCAAGAAUACUCUGGAGAAGGUAGGCGUAUCAUUGUCAAAAUCUACAAUCAAGAGACGCCUUCAUGAAUGUAAAUACAGAGAGUUUACAACAAGGUGCAAACCACUGGUAACAUUCAAGAACAGGAAAGCCAGAUUAGACUUUGCCAGAAAACAUCUAAAAAAUCCUCCCAUGUUCUGGAAUAAGAUUCUUUGGACUGAUGAAACCAAGAUUAACUUGUACCAGAAUGAUGGGAAGAGAAAAGUAUGGCAAAAGAAAGGAACGGCUCAGAAAUGUAAUAGUCUUCAAUGGCCAAGUCAUUCCCCUGAUCUCAAUAGAGCAUGCUUUUCACUUACUGAAGACAAGACUGAAGGCAGAAAGACCCACAAACAAGCAGCAACUGAAGGUGGCUGCAGUGAAGACCUGGCAAAGCAUCUCCAGGGAGGAAACUGAGAAUUUGAGUUUUGAGAACAUGGGCUUCAGGCAGUCAUUGACUUCAGGCAGUCAUUGACUGCAAAGGAUUUUCAUCCAAGUAUUAAAAUUAUGGUUAUAUUUACAAUUAUGUCACUUUGUCCAAAUACCUUUGAGCCCCUGAAAAUGGAGGUACUUUGUUGAAAAUGGCUGUAAUUCUUAAAUGGUAAAUCCCAUAUUUUUGUGGAACCUCUUAAAAUAAAGCUGAAAGUCUAAACUUGAUUUUUUUUAUUUCAAAUCCAUUGUGGUGGUGUAUAAAGGCAAAAUCACAAAAACUCUGUCAUUGUCCAGAUACUUCCGGACCUAACUAUAUGUGUAUUACACAAUAUUUGCUCAUGUAUGUGCACCCAGUAAGGUGUAGAAUAAGGCAGAGUUUUGUAAAAGACUGAUAUAAAUAGUUUCUAAACGUAAUUUCUAAACAUUAAAAAAAAAACUGAUAGCACUUUAAAAUAAUGUUCUAAUUGUUAACAUUAAAAUACUUUAAGUAUCAUGAGCUAACAAUAAGUAAUAGCAGUUGUUUCUCUUGGUCAAUGUUUAUAAUUUAGUAUGUUCUUUCUUCAUGUUUUGUUCAUAAUGAAUUAACGUUAACGAAUAUAAUCUUAUAGUAAAGUGUUAUAAUACGAAUAAUUUCUUUCUGUUUAAAGUUUAGCAAUAAACAAACAAAAAAUAUCACUGAAUGCACCUAUAAUUAACUGACAAAAAUAUAUCAAAAUAACAAAGUGGGCCCCUUUGUUAUUUUGCACUUAUGUCUCUGACAUAAUGUUUUUUUUAUGUUUUUCUGUAGAGAAUGCAAUGGAGGAUCCAAGAACUGACCAUACUGUUGGCCUCUGCAAAAAGCUAGUGAGCACCUUCUCCUACAGCUGGAGGGGUAACAGGAAACUUUUGGCAGCUGAAGCUCCCAGAGCACUCACUGAAGACAGUGUGUCCCACUAGGUGGGAUCACGUCAGGCCAUGACAGAGUGAGUCAUUAAGCAGCACAAGGCCAUUGCUCAUGUUCUGUCUUCUAACAAGAAGUCCCGGCAUCUUAUCCCAAUGUGGCAGGACACUGACAUGCUGGAGGCUAUCAACAAAUCCCUGCACCCUCUAGUCGAGCUUACAGAUGCACUGUCUGGUGAGAAGUAUGACAGUGUGUCUUUUAUAAAGCCAGUUCUUCAUCUUUUCAACUCAGCUAUCUUGAAAGUUAAGGAUGAUGAUACUGACCUAUCAGGAGCAAUAAAGACUAGCAUUUUGUACCUAAAUGAAAAAUACAGUGACCCACAAACCUAGACUCUGUUGGACGAACAUCUGCUGUAGAUCCAUGAUUUAAGAUGAGUUACACCACUUAAGACAGCAUAACAUCAAUACCAGCCAGACUGAGAUGAUGAAGACUGUGGCAGUGAUGAUGCCUCCCCCAGAGCCACCAGGAGAGAUCACUGAGGAUGCUGAGGCUGAAUUCACUCCAAAGAAACUGAAGACAAUGAGAAGCUUCUUUAAGCUGCUAAACAAGCCUUGCAAAGUCCAACCAACAACCAGGAACUAAGUGUAGCUUGUGAGCUGCAGGCCUACCUAGAGUCACACAACAUGGAUAGUGAGGAGGAUUCACUAAAAUGGUGGAAAGAACACCAAAGAUCUACCCAAGGCUCUCAAAAGUGGCAAAAAUGUACUUGUGCAUUCCAGCCACAAGUUCCCCCUUCAGAGAGGGCUUUUAGCACUGGGGGAAUAUUGUUACUUGUUUGCGGUCCUCCCUAAAGCCGGAUAAUGUUGAUAGACUUGAGUUUCUAGCCAAAAUCCUUGGCAGUACAUAUGUAUAGUAGGUCUUGUGCAUUCAUGAGUGAAUAAUUUUGUUUUCCACAUUGUAGUCUUAUUAUGUUGGCUUGACAAAGCCAACGUACUGGUCUGCUUUAUAAGAAUAUUAUUAUUAUGAUUAGUGGUGCUUGUGAAGCAAAGCCUCACUAUUGUUAUCUCACAUACUUAUUAUUAUUAUUAUUACUUCCAUACAAAACUUCGGCACGUAACUCGUCCCACACUGUUUGUACUACAGACAUAAAACGUUUUCAGCUCGUAGAGAAACACGGGUGUCACAGCUCGGACGUCUUUGACUGAUAUGCUUGUAUCACCUAUCCUUUCAUAUGUCUUUGGGAGUAGACCUGGCAUAUACACAUCACAUUUUGGAAUUUUUGCCAGAAAUGUCCGGAAAAUAGCGUUAUUCUGGCCCCAUAGACAAUAAUGGGAUUAUUGUCUGUGGGGCCAGAAUAACUCCAUUACCCCAGCAUAUAAUAACCCAGAAUAACCCUAACCUUCAGACUGGCUUUGUCAAGCUAACCUCAAAGUUUGUCAUGAUGAACUUUACCUACCUAGUCACUAUUAUUAUUAUAAGAUAAGAUAAAGUUUAUUAAUCCCCGAAGGGAAAUUCAGGUAGUCUUGUAGAUAAGUAAGAAAGAAAGUAGUAAAAAGUAGUGACAGUAGAAGAAAUUAGUGAGAAUAGUAAAGUAGUGAAGUAGUAAAGUAAUGAGAAUAGUGAUUAGUCAUCUGCCGUUGGCUAAGGUGUUGUAGAGCCUGAUGGCAGUGGGGAUAAAGGAUCUCCUGUAUCGUUCAGUCCUGCAGCACAGUGAGGUGAGUCGUCCUCUGCACCUGCUUCUCUGGUCCAUCAGGGUGUUGGGUAGGGGAUGGCCAGGGUAUUCCAGAAUGGCCUCUAGCUUUUUCUGUGUGCAUCUCUCCACCCCGGCCUCCAGUGAUUCAAACCUCAUUCCAGUCACUGAAGAAGCUUUUUGCACCAGUUUGUCCACCCGCCUUGCAUCCUUCUGCUUUAUGCUGCCUCCCCAGCAUAAAACAGCACACUUGCUGCUGUAGUUUGGUAAAACAUAUGUAGCAUCUUCCUGCAGAUGUCGAAGGACCUAAGCCGUUUUAGGAGGAAAAGCCGUCUCUGCCCUUUUUUAUAUUGUACAUCUGUGAGAAGUGACCAGUCCAACUUAUUGUCCAGGUGCACACCUAGAUAUUUGUAGGCUGGCACCCCUUCAAUGUCCGCACCAUAGAUGCUGACUGGAUAAGGAGGGGGUUUAGCCCUUCGAAAAUCCAAUACCAUCUCCUUGGUUUUAGAGGUGUUUACUGGGAGGCAGUUUUUUUACUCCUCUUCCUGACCAUUCCCAAUGCAUGCAAUAAUCGCAGGAUCAUCAGAAUACUUCUGAAUGUGGCAACACUCAGAAGUGUAGGUGAAGUCUGCUGUGUACAGUGUGAACAGGAAUGGAGCCAAAUCAGUCCCCUGUCGAGCCCCUGUACUGCUUAGAACUCUACCAGAGAUGCAGUUCCCCAGCCUGACAAACUGUGGCCUUUCUGUCAGGUAAUCAGUGAUCCAGGAAACAAAUGAGAGGUCAACACCCAACCCUUUCAGUUUGUCUCUAAGGAUGAUUGGUUGGAUGGUAUUCAAUGCACUUGGAAAAUCAAAGAACAUAAUCCUCACGUAACUUGCGGGUUCUUCCAGAAGAGACAAAACACGGUGACACAUGUAGAGGACAGCAUCAUCCACAACCAUUGUGCUCUCUGUAAGCAAACUGCAGGGGACCCAUUGCGUGUUUAACCUCGAGUCUUAGUAAGCGCAGAAUCAUCCUCUCCAGAACCUUCAUAAUGUGGGAUGUGAGAACCACAUAGUCAUUUAGUUCAGCUGGACACUUUAGGUACUGGAACUUUAGGUACUGGAACUAUACAAGAUGUUUUCCACAGAGCCCCCCCAGUUUAGACUCAGGUUGAAGAUCCUCUGCAGAGGCUCACACAGUUGAGCCGCAGAGUCCUUAAGCAGUCUAGGACAAACACCAUCUGGGCCAGCUGCCUUCCCACGGCACAGUCUUUGUAACUGCAGCCUCACCCCUGUUACAGUGACAGAUGGUGGAGCAUUCUCAGGUGAAGGAGGGGGCAAAGCUGCAGGGGUGGAGAUGCACACAAAUGUAGUCAAAGGAGUUGGAGUAGAUGGAGGAGGAGACAUAGAGGAAGAAUGAGGGGUUGUGCAUGUACAGUCUGCAUUUGUAACAGUGUCAAACCUGUUGAAGAACUUGUUGAGUUUGUUGGCUCUGUCCUCAUCACCCACUGGUGCCUGGUUGUUCUUUUUUUUUUUUUUUUUUUUUGUAGCCAAUGAAAUUGUUGAUUCCCCUCCGCACUUCUCUCAUGUUAUUCUGCUGUAGGUCUUUCUCUAUUUUGUUUUUGUAGUCCUCCUUAGCCUGCUUCAAUUUCCUCUUCAGCUCAUAUUGGACGUUUGAGCCUUUCUUUGUCUCCAUCUUUAAAUGCCUCCUUUUUCUGGUUAAGGAUAGCCUUGAUGUCACCAGUGAUCCAGGGUUUGUUAUUUAGGAAACAUUGCACAGACUUUGUAGGUAUAAUAGUGUCUCUACAGAAGUUGAUGUAAUCAGUGAAGCAGUCAACCUGUCUGUCAAUGUCCAUGCUGUUCCCUUCUACUCCCAGCAAUACGUUCCAGUCUGUACAUUCAAAGCAGUCCCUUAGAGACUCAACAGCCUCAGGUGUCCAUUUCCUGACUGAGAUGGUGGUUGCAGGUUGCUUCUGUACACAGGGUUUAUAACAGGUCUGCAGUAAGACCAGGCUGUGAUCUGACCUGCCAAGUGGUGGUAAGGCAGUAGAGAUAUAGGCCUCCUUGGCACUUGCAUAUAGUAGAUCCAGUGUUUUACCUUCUCUGGUAGGACAGGUGACAAACUGGUAAAAUCCAGUCAGGUGUGAGGUGAGAGUCACAUGGUUAAAAUCUCCAGAUAUUAUAAUGAGGACCUCAGAAUGUUGAAUUUGUAUCCUGGCAACAGUCUCAUGGAUGACUUCACAAGAGAUAUUAGCAUUUGCUCUUGGUUGAAUGUAAACAAGUAUUGCGAUGAUAUGACUGAAUUCCCUGGGAACAUAAUAUGGUCUGAGACCAACUGGCAAAAGCUCAAUGUCCUGACAUCAUAUCCUCUCCUUGACAGUAAUAUGACCAGGGUUAUACCAUCUCUUGUUUACAAAUAAAGCAAGUCCUCCACCCUUUGUCUUGCCACUUGCCUGAGCAUUUCUGUCUACACGUACCAGGGUGAAGUUAGGCACAUUCACACAGGAGUCUUCAAUGUUUUGAUGUCUCAGUAAAACACAUCAGGCUACACUCACGAAAUUCUCUCUGGGUCCUAACCAGUGCUUGCAGCUCCUUGCUUUUGUUCACUAUAGAGCUGGAAUAGGGUGAUGCACUCCAGAUUUACUCCGUUGUAGUAAAAGGAGGUCAUUCCUUGUGUAGAUUCUUCUUCCCAUAGCAAUAUCCAUAGGUCAGUAAGCAAAUAUAACAGUAGUUAUCAAAAAUAUGUCAAAAGAAAAAAUUUUGAGGAGCUACAAGACUUUGCUGCCAACUGCUUGGCGUGAAAUUCUGGAAUUAUAAUAAUAAUAAUAAUAAUAAUAAUAAUAAUAAUAAUAAUUAUUAUUAUUAUUAUUAUUAUUAUUAUUAUUAUAUCUCCAUCUAUCUCUCACAACUCUCUCUCUCCAUAUUUCUUCCUAUCGUCAUCCUCCUGUAUCACUCUCUCACUUCUUUUGUCUUUCAAACACUAAAAUGCUAUCUAUCUACAUGUAUCAGUCUGUCACUCCAUUUAUCUUUCUACCAUUCUCUCCAUCUCUCUGUUUACUAGGAACACUAUCUAUCUAUCUAUCUAUCUAUCUAAUCAACUCUACAAAUAUUGGCUAUCUAUACAUCUAUCUAUCUAUUAAACUCUACAAAUAUUGGCACCCUAUCAAUCGAUCUAUCUAUUCAACUCUACAUGUAUUGGCGCCCUGUCUGUCUGUCUGUCUAACUACCUAUUUGACUGUACAAGUAUUGGCACCCUAUCUAUCUAUCAACUCUACAAUUAUUGGCACCAUAUCUAUCUAUUCAACUCUGCCAGUAUUGACACUCUGUCUAUACAUCUAUCUGUUUCUCUCUAAACAACUCAAGUAUUGGCACCCCAUUUAUCUAUUCAACUCUGCAUAUAUUGUCUGUCCGUCUGUCUAUCUAAUCAACUCUACAAUUAUUGGCAUACUGUCUGUCGCUCUAUCUAUCUAUCUAUCUAUCUAUGUUUAUGUUUCUAUAUUUCAGUCAGACUUUCAUUUACACUGUUCAUCUAUCACUCUUUCUGUAACACAUUUUUCUUUCAGUCACACUUCCAGUCGAACUCUAUCCAUGUAUCCCUCUGUCAGUGACACUCUAUCCAUCUAUCACUCUUUCUGUAACACCUUUUCUUUCUUGCUUGCUCCUUUCUUUCUGUCUGCGACAUCUAUCUUUCUUUCUUUCUUUCUUUCUUUUUUCCAGUAACAUUCCCUCCCCAUCUAUCUACCUGUAUCACUCCAUCCCCAUCUAUUUUUGUCAUCAGUCUUUCUACCAUUGACUGACUGUCUGUCUUUCUGUCUGUCUGUCACCCUUUCUUUCUUUCUGUCUUUCAACUGUCCUUCAGACUGGCUUUGUCAAGCCAACAUCAAAGUUUGUUUUGACAAACUUUACCUACCUAGUUAUAAUUUAAUUUUGUUAUUAACAUGUAGCAUGUAAAAGAGGCCCACUUUUAUUUUGUACAGAAUUUUAAAUUUUCUUAUUUUUAAAUGACUUACUUGUAUUUCUGUUCUUUUUAUAACAUGUUUUAUUGAUUCGGCCUUAAAAAAAAGUGCAGUAAAUAUGCUGAGGUGAAGUUUUUAAAAAGUUCUGAACUUAAUAAUCAAUCACAGAGAUGGACACAGUGGAAACUGCAUCCUGUUUGUUUUCUGUAUUUUACAAAAGCACAGCAUUUUGUUUUUAUUGUGAGUGGGCACAAAUAAAAGUAGACCCUUUACAGUUUCGAAUGAUGUCGUCCUCUUUUCUGUCUGACCAUAAAUGAUGGGAGUACUUUAACUCAUUGCCGUUGCUAUAAGAAAAAAAUCCAAGUGAUCGUGAAGACGGCUCUGUCAACUCCUGAGGGUUAAUGCGUUCGGGAGGGCGUCAACCUUAUUGCAGACUAUUGCUCUCUCUACAGUGGAUCAUUGCUUUUGAAGUGUUCCUGUACCUUUUAUGUGUGUGUGGUCUUGGCUUUUUUAAUGCUGGCAUUUAACCUAAUCCUGGAUGUGCAUAGUGCUAUAUUGUCUCGUCUUGAACAUGUUGUUGCGUGCUUUUAGGAGAGAGCGUGCUUCAGCAUUAAGCCAAGGUUGCUUGGUGAUUGUGACAUUGUCCACUCACUUACUUAUGUAUCCUGUGACUUAUAUUGUGCAUAUUCUUUUAAGUCCAUAUAGUCUUCAUGUGUAGUGGCUCCCUUAAACAUGUUCCAGUCAGUGCACUCAAAGCAAUCCUGCAAGGCUGCUACCAAUCCGCUCUGCCAUAUCAUGACAGUGUUGAUACCGGCCUUACUCUGUUUCAGGAGCAGUUUGUAGGUUGGCACUGAGGGGCACUGAGUUUUGAUCUGAGAACCGAGGUGUGGGCGUGUGUGUAUUCUUUGUAUUUGUAUAGACCUGGUCAAGCAUGUUCUUGCCCCUGGUUGGUAUGGAAACAUGUUGAUGGAAUUUAGGUAGAGCCAUUUUGAGAUUGAGGUGGUUAAAAUCUCCAGUUACAAUGAAGAGACUGUUGGUGCUUGUUCUGUAGUGAGCCGAUGGCAUCAUGGAGCAGCUCUAGAGUGUCCUUAGCAAUGUUGCUCAGGGAUAUGUACACAGUUUUAUAAAUUGCACUGAAUUCUCUUGGCAGAUAGAAUGGCUGGCACUUAAUCAGCAGGUAUUAAGGUGCAGCUGAGCAGUUACUGUCGACGAUUCUUCUUGCACCAGUUCUUCUUGAUGUGUAUACAUAGCCCUCCACCUCUGUUCUUACCGGACGAUUGUGUUCUGUCUGCUCGAUAGCACAUUAGCCUGUCUAGCUGCACUGUUAAGUCAGGAAUUUUGUCAUGUAGCCAUGUCUCUGUUAAAAUUAGCAUGCAGCAAUUCCGCAUCUCCCAAUGAGGCAACAGUCUGAGUCUAAGCAGGUCCAUUUUAUUAUCCAAAGAGCGGAUGUUAGCCUGGAAUUGAGGAAACCGCCAGUCUAGUAGAAUAGGCUUUUAGCCUAGCAUUAGCUCUGCUACGCGUUCCACGCUUCGUCUCCGCUCACACUGUCUGACGCUACAUCAUUUGGAAAGAACACCUACGCGAGGUGGCAGAUGGCAAGCCUGGUGUAUGGAGAAGCCCGAAUCUACUUAGUUUGUUCACUAAUUCCUCCAGUAGCGCCCGUUCCAGUGAGCUGUCGCUAUAUCUUUUCUUUAUGUCCAGCAGUUCCUUGCGAUUGUCUGAAUUCCUGUGUCCAUUGUCUGAUGUUUUAGAUAUCAACUGGUGUUCUAAUACAGAUCAACAAAAAGCAUCUAUGUUGGGACCCGGAGUGGCCGCUGCGACCACACGCACCAACCAUGACACGUGUGUGGAGGGUCUGCAGGCUGAAACUCCUUGUUGAUGAGAGAGAUAGGUGAAUGACCAGACCGGUCUGAGCUGACCGGAAGACUAUAAUUACUCAAAUAAGCGCUCUUUGCAACUGUGGUGAGCAGAAAAGCAUCUUAGAAUGCACAUCAAACCUUGAGAUGGAUGGGCUACAACAGCAGAACAGCUGUUCAGUUUGGGUGAGUCUGUGCCCAUGAUAGCCUCAGAUUCCUGUUCUUGGCCUGGCAGGAGUGUCUGCUGUUGUAGCCCAGUCACCUCAAGGUUUAAUAAUUUGUGCAUGUCGAGAUGCUUUUCUGCUCACCACGGUUUUAAAGAGUGAUUAUAUAAGUUAUUAUAUCCUUCCUGGCAGCUUGAACCAAUCUGGCAAUUUACCUCUGACCUAUCCUAUCAGCAAAGCAUUUCCACACACAGAACUGUCUCUCACUCAGUGUUUUUCAUUUUUCACACCAUUCUGUGUAAUCUCUAGAGACUGUUGUGUGUGAAAAUCUCAGGAGAUCAGCAGUUUCUGAAAUACUCGUGAGUGUUCACUGAUGUGAAAAUUCACUGAAGCUCUUGACCUGCGUCUGCAUGAUUUUAUGCAUUGUGCUGCUGCCUUGUGAUUGGCCAAUUGGGUGACUGCAUAAAUGAGCAGGUGUACAGGUGUCCCAUUAAAGUGGAUGGUGAGUGUAUAUACAAAAUCAGCGUUUCUGUUAGCCAAUAAAUACUGGUAUGCAACCGGCAAAUUCAGAUCCUGCCAGACAGUGUUCUGGUAAAAAUAUUCACUUAAAGAACAUACUAAUUUCAACAGAAAUAAACUGUGUGUAAUAUAUAUAUAUAUA